GCUACAGCCGGAUUGGCUGCGUUUAUAAGAAGAAUCGCGCGGGGCGCAUGCGCAAUGAGCGGCGAGGUCGGGGUCGGAGUCGGGUCACCAUUCAUUCGUUCCGCGCGCGGAUUAUUUCGUGCUCUGAUGCCUAUUUCUUGCGCAAGUGUAGCAGCUGAUUAUAUAAGCUUCAUGUCAUUGUGUACCUAUGUAGAGUAUCUGCAAUCAAGGUUGAGACUUUAGCCAAGAUGUCUCGAGAGACUGGAAAUGAAUCCCAGCAAUCUCAAGGUGCCCAGCAGUCUCAGAGUGGUACAAGUUCUUCCUCCAGUGGAUCACAGAGUGCCAGUCAGUCGUCUUCCAGUUCUGGGACCCUCAGUUCUUUGGACACAGUUCCUACUCAGGAACUUCCUUCAAUUCCUGAGGAUCAGGAACCUGAAGAAAUCAUUCCUCAGCCAUGGGGUCGACUCUUUGCACUUGGAAAGGGUUUCUGCAAUUAUGACUGCGUGAAUGACGAGUGUUGGUUUGGCAGAGACAGAAGCUGUGAUUAUAGCUUUGCUAAACUAGGGUUGACCGAGACAGGCUUAUACCAAAACUACAGCAAGAAGCACUUCCGAAUCUUCAGGGAAAUGGGACCAAGAAACUCCUAUGUUGCCUACAUUGAGGACCACAGUGCAAAUGGGACUUUUUUAAAUAAAGAGCUCAUUGGGAAAGGGAAAAGGCUCCCAUUGACUCACAAUUCUGAAAUUGCACUGUCUGUACAGACUAACAAAGCGUUUGUAUUUUCUGAUCUUAUGGUGGAUGAUCAGUCAGGGUAUCCCAGAGAAUUGAGAGAGAAAUAUAUCAUGUCAAAGACUUUGGGAAGUGGUGCCUGUGGAGAGGUUAAACUGGCAUUUGAGAGGACCACGUGUAACAAAGUUGCUGUAAAGAUAAUCAAUAAACGGAGAUUUAUAACAAGCGCUGUGAGAGACGCAGAUCCAGCUUUUAAUGUUAAUACAGAAAUUGAGAUUUUGAAGAAAAUAAAUCAUCCCUGCUUAAUCAAGAUAAAAAACUUCUUUGAUGCAGAAGAUUAUUAUAUUGUUUUGGAAUUGAUGGAAGGAGGAGAGUUAUAUGACAGAGUGUCGAGAUCAACCAGAAUGAAAGAAGCUACCUGCAAGCUCUAUUUUUAUCAGAUGCUGUUGGCUGUAAAGUAUCUUCAUGAAAAUGGUAUUAUACAUCGGGAUCUAAAGCCAGAAAAUGUGCUACUUUCCUCUUCUGAGGAAACUUGUCUUAUAAAGAUUACAGAUUUUGGACAAUCCAAGAUUCUUGGAGAAUCAUCACUUAUGAAAACAUUAUGUGGUACUCCCACGUAUCUCGCCCCUGAAGUUCUCAAUUCACUUGGGACAGCUGGGUAUAGCCGUGCUGUGGAUUGCUGGAGUUUAGGAGUUAUUCUUUUUGUAUGCCUGUGUGGAUAUCCACCAUUCAAUGAACAAAAUACUCAGCUAUGUCUGAAAGAUCAAAUUACCCGUGGAGAAUACACAUUUAUUCCAAGAGAAUGGAAGCAUGUGUCAGAUAUGGCUUUGGAUCUUGUGAAGAAGCUGUUAGUAGUGGAUCCAAAUAAACGUCUUACAACGGAAAAAGCCUUGGAACAUCCCUGGCUUCAGAUGCCAGGCCACUUGAACACCACCAGAGGAGCCACUUGAGCUCCUGUAACUGUGUGCAGUGAGGAGCUGAUGGCCCUCCACUCUCUCUGCCAUUGUCUGCAGCAACCCUGGCCUAGUGGAAGCAGCAAGAUUGGCUUCUUCUCCUUGCUUCCAGCUACUUUUACAGGCAGUGAGGAACCUGGAUACCUGUAGCAGGAGCUGAGAACCAGGAGAACAGUAUCCUGUGACCAAUCAGCCUGUCCACAGACCACCACCAUGUGCUUCAUGGUUCACAGUUUGGGAACUUCUUUAUGAGCAAAUUGUGUCUCCAGUGGGGUAUUGGGAUGAAAGUAUGAAGAGCACAUUUCAAGAGCUACUCUCACAAACAAGAGUCUCUAUGCAUCCACCACAGACAUCAAGACUACCAACCACAACCAGAAAACGUCCCCAUGAAAAGGAAGAGGAAGCUGGGUCUUCU